rnacentral:tRNA from 1 species
GGGCUCGUAGCUCAGUCAGGCAGAGCACCGGGCUUUUAACCCGAUGGUCGAGGGUUCAAAUACCUCCGAGCCCG